GCUACGUUGGUUGUCCUUACCCUUGAGACAUGCUCAAUUUGUUAAAUACUAAUUACACUACUUCAUCUCCACUUAAGUAGAUCUCUAUAAAUGCUCUCAUGCUACCUUUAUUUGCUUUAGUAUAUGUCUAGGUUUGGAAUAGUUUCAUUUAUCUCUUAAUUAAGCAUGGUGCUUAGUUUAGGAAUGAUGAUCUUACUUCCAAGGGAUUUUAAAUUAAGCAUGGUGCUUAGGUUAAAAUGCCCUUCUAAAUCAAAUUAGACGUGGUGUCUAGGUUGAUUUUUAAGCCGAUAGUAUGCUAUAGUAGAUAUGGGAUAUUUUGUUGGACUAACCCCUGUAGGAAAACUUUCAAUAUCAACCUGGGAUGUCCCGAGAUAAACUCGCAUUGGAGAUGAAGAAAGCGACACAUAAAGUUUAACAAUUUGCACAAGAAAGACGUGGCUCAUAAGAGAUGAUUCAUGGAGGGUGCCACAAACACGAUGCACAACCGCUAAGAAAGGAAAGCUUCCACAAGGUGAUACUGUACCGUCACUCUUCAAGUAAGGUAACACCUUAAGGUACUUGACAAUCUCUUUUAUAAGCUUCUCCUUGGUUUUAGCAUUCACAUAAAUAAAGAUACAAACACGUAUGAUUUAUAACUCCAGAUUAACCAACUCAAUUAAUUCAACAUGUUUAGUCCUUUAAUCUUUGUUCUUAGUACUACCUUCGUGAUCCCACGCUCCUAAACAUAUAAGUUAAUAUGUUGCACAUUCAAUAUUUGGAAGAUAUAAACAAAACAUAAAUAUAGAUAAAUUAUCUUUCCAUUAGGUUGAGCCAUCUGAUCUGACAAAUGUUUCAAAUACUACACUCAUGAUCUUAUUAUCCAUCAACUUUGUCUUGCUCACUAUGCUUAAGGUUAGAGAAGAACAAAUACACUUUUGGUUCUGUUGGUGUUUUCCACCAACAGAGCCCAUGCACUUGAUCUCUGCCUUGUCUCUAUGAACAGGUACACUUCAAGCAAAACAUGAAGGAGUUUUACAACUCCCAGACUCCACCAAGUGAAGGACCUGGAUCUAUGAGCACAAACACACGGAGCAGGAUAUUGCCAACACCAUACUUCGAACUGCUGGGCAAAGAAGAACAUAGGUGACACCGUAUCAAGAGGUGCAGACGUCAAGGUCCACACCUAAUCAAAUGAUGCACCUAAAGGAUGAAGAUGGUGGAAAGUCUUCUCCAGAAGACUUAAAACAUUAGAUCCUUGUCGGAAGAGGUCAACAUCGUCGACUCAAGUCACCUUUCUUGAUCAAGAAGGACGACCCUUGUGUUCCAAGCAUCGAGUGCGCAAUCAAUGGAUACUCUUUUCAGAAGACACUCUACGACACCGGAUCUGACGACAACAUAAUGGCCGCAGCCACUUAUCAGCUCCUGCAUGAAACCAUGCCCCUACAACCAAUAUAUUCAGCUCCAGAUGAUUUUCAGGUCAUUGACAUGGGAGAAGACGAAUAUGAUCCACCCACCAUCCUUGGAAGACCGUUCCUCAACACUAUCAAAGCAAUCAUCAACAUUGGAACCGGAGAAGUCCACAUGUACUUCCCCUCUGAGAAGGUACGCAACUAUUUUACUGACCAUAACUAUAUAGUUGAAGACUCUAAGCAGGUCAGGACAAGAAGACGACGCAACCGCAACCAAGAGGAGGCAAAUCAUCAAGAACGGAUGGGUAGACUACAAAGGAGAAGUGAUAAGGACUGAAGUCAUACAGCUUGAACAGAACUGUCCUGAGGAGACCGUAGCACCGAGUCAGGUGUGGAGGGAGAAGAUAGUUAUACAUGAAGAGAGGCGCCGCCGGAAUCACCGACUACGCCACCUAGCGAAUCCCAGGACGACUGAGAAAACAGAGAGUCCCGUUCGGAGGACAUAAAAAUACCGAACGCCUUGCCAAGAGGUAAACUUGGUAGUUACCCUUUCCUUUCAAUUAUUCAAUUAUAAUUUUCUUAGUUAAUCAGGUUCAUGCUAUCUUGAAAAGAAAAUAAAAAUGUUAAAAAAAAUAGUAAGCCCCAUGUGAGUAUGCUCAUGGCAUAAAACCCAUAAGUACAUUCACUAUGGUGGCAUAAAAAUAAAAUAAAUAAGUUUUCAUCUUACAAUAAAAAUAUAAAAAUAAUAAUAAUAAUAAUAAUAAUAAUAAUAAUAAUAAUAAUAAUAAGUGUAUGAUCCUGCUAAAUAAAUAACAUUUAUUAAGGAAGCUCAACAUGAUGAAAGCCAGAUAUUUAUGCUAACACUUAAUUAGUUCCACAAGCUUUGUUGUCUAUUUGAGCUCCACAGAACUUAAGAAUCAAGAAGACUAGCAGACGGAGGACAUUCUAAUCGCUGUCAGAAUGCUGCUGACUUUCAAAUACACCUCUGCCACCUGCUAGCUACAUCAAGAGAAAUUACGUCAAAAUUCAGCUUGGGGGAGAGCACCCCCAUUAUUCUCGCUAAGUAUUUCUACCUAUCUUUAUACUUAUAUUAUGUUAGAAUAUUAAAAUACAUAAACUAUGAAAAAACAAAAUAAAGAUUUUGUGCUUAUAUAUAUAUCUUUUGCUUAGUAUGUUUAAUAAAUAAAUAAAGUAGCUAUGCUAAUCUGAAUCUUAAUAAUAAAACUCUAGCACGGAUAUGAUGAAUAGUUGCUCUGCCUAAUUUGCAAUUUUCAAGUUCCCUCUCAAGUUUAGACAUAACUAUUAUAAUUUAAAGCUUGCUCUAGAUCUAAACUUGUGGGAUGAAAACUUGAUCUGAAAUCUAAGUUGUUAACGGAUAUGAUAUGGGAAGGUUGAGUUGUUGUUUAUCUGUUCCUAUUGAUGCUAGAAUUCUGGAGAAUUUUAUCUUUGAAAAAUCUUUAAAAUAUUGCAUGAUGAGUUCCUGUAUGAUGAGAGUUUAAAUUCCUACCACUGCCAUAUAUACAUGCUUGCUAGACUUUGAGCCACACAUUUACUAUUUACUGCUUAUGAGCAUUGAGUGUGGUCAAGCUGUGUAGACCCUUAGGAGCUUGUCAUGUGGUUAAAUCAAGAUUCACUUGCACGUUCACUCAUAUAUGCUACUUCUACUCUGGAAGUACCAUCCACAUAUAUCCAUCCAUUUCCAUCUCCAGAAUCACCCAAAAAUAUUCUACUCCUAAUCCGGGAGAGAAUAGUCAAAAACAUUUUCCUAUCCCUGUUAUUCCCUGUGAAAUAAAUGCUCCAAAUAUUUUGGUUACUACCACUUGCUAUAUUAUCUCAAGAGAUGAGUGCUCUGAAAAAAAAGAGAAAAAAAAUAUAUACGAGGAAAUAAAAAGGGGCAAGUGCCCGGAACCUCGAAGAAAAGAAAAAGUGAGACGAGAGGUAAAAAUGGACAAGUGUCCGACAGUAGAAUUAGGGAUACAAGAUACCCACCUGAGAGGAAAGAAAAAGAAAAUAUAGAGCAUCUCAUUCUCUCCAAAAAAGCUUCAAAGUGCAAGAAAGGUAUGUAUCCCCUCAAAAGAGCAAAAGUAGAAUUAGACUUUCACCACCAUUAUCACCAUCAUCACCAUACACCAUUCAUUCGCCACACAUGCACAUCUUGAUUUGACUUAUUGACUUGUUUCUCUGGAUCCAUUGUUUGACUAUGCAAUAAAUGUCUUGUAAGUAUGUAUUAGUUGUCUCCCACCUAUGAGCUCCAGAUAUCAAGCCUUAUUAGAGUAGGGUGAGAGAGAAGGCAAUGUCACUAUGCCUUAUACCACAAAUACCACAUAUCUUGAGAGAAGGCAUAUACCAUCAAUGCCUUGGUAAGGAUCUAGAAAUACCACAAAAGAGAGAUAUGAGAGAGUCAUACAAGGAAUCUCUGAGUUUUAUUUGAAAAUCUGCAAAAACCCCAGAGCUAUAGCUGAUCAAGAAUAAGAGACAUGACACUUGGCUAGACUGUUCUAUCUUUUAACCUCUCAAGAUAGAAGUGACGGUUACAAGUCCCAUGGUGAAGGUAAAGUAAGUUUUAAGUCUUGACAGUUUACUCUAACUCAGAGAUGAGAUCUUAUUUAAAAAGCAUGUGUACCGUCAAUUUUUAAAGAUAUUGUAACAAAUUCUAAUCCAUUGUUGAGUCUAUCCUUGCUCAGGGACGAGCAAGAGGUAAGCUUGGGGGAGCUUGUUGACGGUCCUUAAGUAUCAAAUUUAAUUAUCAAAUAAACAAAUAAAAGGAUCCAAAUGAAAUCAACAUCUAGACUUAGGGUUUUAUCUGACAGAAUUCCACGAGUUUUGGUGUUUGUCUACUUCUGCAGGGGGUUAUCAGGAAAUAAGAAAGAAAGGCCCACAUGUCAGGAUUACAUAGAGAUAUCAACGCACCGCGCAAUUUUCUACCAUCUAGAAGACUCCAGAAGCCACGAGACCGAAGCGGAGGCGAAACGGGGCCAGGACCUGGGCGCCCGCCCAGUUUCCUUGGGCGCCCGCACACCUGCCGAGCCCAAUCAGGACUCUUUCUCUCGGGAGAUCUCCACCGACCUAUUGGAUCCAGAAUAACGUAGUACCACAUCGCCUACCGACCCAAAAACGCAUAGAAGGGGAGGACUAUAUAAGGAGACCCCCCUGGCCCCUGGAGAAGACAUGAAGAAAUUAUCAUAGAGAUUGAGGGGUGCCCUCUAAUUAAUAUUUCUUUUUAGGCUUAGCAACCAAUGUAAGGUAGAAAUAUAUCUUCUAGUUUCUACUAGAUUGAGAGAGAUAGAGUGGAGGUGUAGAUUGGAGGAAGCCCGGCCUGUCGGUGUCUACUCCAAGCUUGUACCUACGGGAUCAAGUUCUCCUAACCCGAAGCUUGCUCCUAGGAUUCUUCAGUAUUUCGACUUCUAAAUUCUAGUAAGUUCUUGUUUUAUUGUUCUUAUGGUUUAUGAGUUUACUUUAAUCUCUUCGCGUAGAGUUUAGAGUAAUAAUUGCUGGCUUAAACGUGGUGUUUAGGCUGGGGUACUCAUAGAUAUUCCCUGACUAGCUGGACCGUGGUAGUAGUGAGGAACGUGACAAUUCCGAGUUACCUUUGCAGAUCACAUCUCGUUAGCAGGAAGGAUAGGGUUUAUAGUUGCGGGUUGAACAUCCUUUGUGGUGUCUAGAUUCCGUUAGCCUCCCCAUUAGAACAGUAGAUCAUCCUUACCAAGGUUAGAAGGAGACUACGGUUGCAGUCUUCUCUAUUUAUCACUCACAUUGAAAGACAUUCUUUGUGCCUAAAGGGAUAGUAGCAAUAGAUUUGGUUAGUCAGAUGCACCCUUUCUCCCAGUGGUAAAAAUAUAAAUACGAUAACUCUGGAUAACCUCCCGGGUGAAAUGCUCACCGAUAUCCAUGCGCUUGCGGUUCGUUUCCUUAUUGCGUUACCAAAUAUCAACAGUUGUCGCUCUGUGUUGGCCGG
rnacentral:lncRNA from 1 species